AACGAACGCUGGCGGCAUGCCUAACACAUGCAAGUCGAACGAGACCUUCGGGUCUAGUGGCGCACGGGUGCGUAACGCGUGGGAACCUGCCCUUAGGUUCGGAAUAACUCCCCGAAAGGGGUGCUAAUACCGGAUAAUGUCUUCGGACCAAAGAUUUAUCGCCUUUGGAUGGGCCCGCGUUGGAUUAGCUAGUUGGUAGGGUAAAAGCCUACCAAGGCGACGAUCCAUAGCUGGUCUGAGAGGAUGAUCAGCCACACUGGGACUGAGACACGACCCAGACUCCUACGGAAGGGAGCAGUGGGGAAUAUUGGACAAUGGGCGAAAGCCUGAUCCAGCAAUGCCGCGUGAGUGAUGAAGGCCUUAGGGUUGUAAAGCUCUUUUACCCGGGAGGAUAAUGACAGUACCGGGAGAAUAAGCUCCGGCUAACUCCGUG
rnacentral:rRNA from 1 species